AUGGUUCGCGCACGCCGCGUGCAGGAGAGCAGCACGGUUCGCUCAUGCCGCGUGCAGGAGCGUGGCAUGGUUUGCACGUGCCGCAUGGAGGAGAGCGGCACAGUCUGCUCACGCCAUGUGCAGGAGAGCAGCACGGUUCACACAUGCCAGGUGCAGGAGUGUGGCAUGGUUUGCUCACACCACGUGCAGGAGUGUGGUAUGGUCUGCACAUGCCGUGUGCAGGAGAGCAGCACGGUUCGCUCACACCACAUGCAGGUGCAUGGCACGGUUCGCUCAUGCCGCGUGCAGGAGCGUGGCAUGGUUUGCACGUGCCACAUGGAGGAGAGCGGCGCAGUUUGCUCACGCCGUGUGCAGGAGAGCAGCAUGGUUCACACAUGCCAGGUGCAAGAGUGUGGCAUGGUUUGCUCACGCCACAUGCAGGAGUGUGGUAUGGUCUGCACAUGCCGUGUGCAGGAGAGCAGCACAGUUUGCUCACACCGCGUGCAGGAGUGUGGCAUCGUUUGCACACACCGUGUGCAGGAGUGCUGCAUGGUUCGCACACGCUGCGUGCAGAGCAGCAUGGUUCGCUCACGCCACAUGCAGGCGCGUGGCAUCGUUUGCACAUGCCACAUGCAGGAGCGCUGCAUGGUUUGCACACGCUGCGUGCAGAGCAGCACGGUUCGCACAUGCCGCGUGGCCAGCAGGCUUCUCGCAAGGCCCCGCUCCUGGCUCGGGGCCGGCGCUCAGUCAUCACUUCUGGGCAAGCACACGGAGCUCCUUAAGGAAGCCCCGGCUGUCGUGAGCUCCUCUUGGACCAUCCACGGCCGCAGCGCCCAGCACGGCCCCAGCACCGGUGCCCGCACAGCAACCGCGGGAAGCGAUCCUGCGUCGCAYGCGGAGUCCUGCCGAGGCUUCCUGGCUGCGGGGCAAGUCGGACGGGGCGGCUCCCGCCAGCCCCCACAUCCCCAAGGCGCCGGGGUGCGCAGCAGGUCCGAAAUGGGGAGGGAAGGGGUUGCAGGAGGAAGCACUGUGUCGCGGCCCUCGCACCGUGCCAACAGCGUCUCCCUGGCACCCGCGCACACCCCCGGGUGUCUGUCCUUGCCGGGGGCCCUUUCCGUGCCCCYGCUUCCGUGA
rnacentral:lncRNA from 1 species